rnacentral:lncRNA from 10 species
UGAGGAUGCCAAAUAUUUUGUCCUCCUCAAUAUCCUGGUUCCUAGUUGUCCCUCAGUUCCUAGGUUAACAGUCUCACCUGUCUCACCUGCAGGCUUAAUGGGGGUCUUUCGUAAUGUAGAAAGGAUACCCUUUUCUUUGUAAAGGCUGAGCCUGAGGGCUUACAAUUCCCUGGAGAAGGAGAGUAAGACAUACGGGAACUCCCUCUGGGAGAAGAGGGAUAUGCCAGGCCAAGAGAGGGUUGGAAGGAGAAGAGAGAAACUGAGGUCCUGUAGAAGUCUGCCAGGGGCAGGGACCAAUUCCGGCAUGCAGCCUAGGAGCAGGAGGGCAAGCUCUAGCACAUCUGGAAGGAGCAGCUGGAUUGUUGAGCUGAGGCAGUUCUCCUGGGGAAGAAUCCAAAAGUGUCCCAGUAAGGGGCCUGGCUCAGGAGACAAGGCUAUCCUAAGUGGGGAUUUCACAGCCAGUAGCAAAUACCUGGAAUCAAGAACUUCAGUGACAGCCAGAGACCCAAACAGCUGGACAGGACUGGUACCCCCAGUAUGAAGGCCUGUCCCAUGCCCAGCCCCACUAGUCAAUACCAGCAAGGAGCCAGGGAGGACAACGAGGGUCUGGAACAUCUGCCCCCAAUGCACACACAUGCGUCCUUCCCCACAGCCCCCUGGAGGCCAAGGCUGUCCUCAUCCUAAAGCCCCCUCACCCUAAGUAAUUUUUAAAGGUAAGGAGUAGGCAGGGUGAUUCGCAUUUAUAGGGAUUUCACUGCAGGGAGCUGAGGAAAGACUUUUCAUGUUCCGGGCUUCUUGAUUUCACUGUGCUACUGGCCUUCUCUGUUGAGGGAAUCAUUGACCAUUUUUCUCAUCAUAAAAGAAGGGGAGGUAUUAACUGUUACCAGGAACACUUGUAAGGAAGCCCUUAACUGUAGUUAUUCCAUGAAAGUCCCAAUGGCACAGGAGUGGCCCAAGAGGUGGGCUGUGAUGG